GUGUCACUCGUGCAGUCAUUGAUCGCGGCCAACAUGUGCUUCAUGAAGGAAACGAUUACUACGUCUCCAUUGGAUAUGACACGAACCUUCUUCUGCAACAUUCUGCGUGGAGCAAAGGCUUUGUUCGGAAAUAUAUUUUUUAUCGGACCUAUUAUGUACGACCAGCUAUAUAACGCAGUGUGUAAAUAAGGCUCGUGAAAGACCAUCCCGAGGAUAAAGUUCACGAAUUGGGUAGUGAGAAUGACAGUGAAUAAAGCACAACUUAUU